rnacentral:rRNA from 1 species
GAGGCGAACCGGGGGAACUGAAACAUCUAAGUACCCCGAGGAAAAGAAAUCAACCGAGAUUCCCCCAGUAGCGGCGAGCGAACGGGGAGCAGCCCAGAGCCUGAAUCAGCAUGUGUGUUAGUGGAACGGUCUGGAAAGGCCGGCGAUACAGGGUGACAGCCCCGUACACAAAAGUGCAUAUGUUGUGAGCUCGAUGAGUAGGGCGGGACACGUGGUAUCCUGUCUGAAUAUGGGGGGACCAUCCUCCAAGGCUAAAUACUCCUGACUGACCGAUAGUGAACCAGUACCGUGAGGGAAAGGCGAAAAGAACCCCGGCGAGGGGAGUGAAAAAGAACCUGAAACCGUGUACGUACAAGCAGUGGGAGCCUC